GGCGGCGUGGAUAAGACAUGCAAGUCGAACGGGAUUAUUUCUGUAGCAAUACAGGAAUAAUUUAGUGGCGAACGGGUGCGUAACACGUGGGCAAUCUGCCGAGAAGUGGGGGAUAGCUCGCCGAAAGGCGAAUUAAUACCGCAUGUGAUCAGAGGCGACAUCGCUUCGAAAUCAAAGCCGGGGCAACCUGGCGCUUUUUGAGGAGCCCGCGGCCUAUCAGCUAGUUGGUGAGGUAACGGCUCACCAAGGCUUUGACGGGUAGCUGGUCUGAGAGGACGACCAGUCACACUGGAACUGAGACACGGUCCAGACACCUACGGGUGGCAGCAGUCGAGAAUUUUUCUCAAUGGGGGAAACCCUGAAGGAGCGACGCCGCGUGGAGGAUGAAGGCUUUCGGGUUGUAAACUCCUGUCAUUUGAGAACAAGUGGCCGAACGUAACUACUUCGGCCUUGAUAGUAUCAGAAGA
rnacentral:rRNA from 1 species